rnacentral:rRNA from 1 species
CGAUAAUCUGCCUUACAGUCUGGGAUACCCUCGGGAAACUGAGGUUAAUACCGGAUAGGGAAUUUGUGCUGGAAUGCUAUUUUCCUUAAAAGUAAUGCUGUAAGAUGAGUCGGCGGCUGAUUAGGCUGUUGGUGAGGUAAAGGCUCACCAAACCUAUGAUCAGUAGGGGGAGUGAGAGCUCUAGCCCCGAGAAGGACACUGAGAUAAGGGUCCUAGCCCUAAGGGGUGCAGCAGGCGCGAAAACUUUACAAUGCACGAAAGUGUGAUAAGGGGAACCCAAGUGCUAACCUUUGGUUGGCUUUUGCCAAGUUUAAAUAUCUUGGCGAAUAAGGGAUGGGCAAGACCGGUGCCAGCCGCCGCGGUAACCCCGGCGUCCCGAGUGGUAAUCAUAUUUAUUGGGUCUAAAGCAUCCGUAGCAGAUUUAGUUAGUCCUUUGUGAAAUUGUUUGGCCUAACCAAACAGAUUGCAAGGGAUACUACUAGGUUAGAGACCGGUAGGGGACAGAAGUAUCCAUUGGGAAACGGUAAAAUGUGAUAAUCCUUUGGAGACUACCAGUGGCGAAGGCGUCUGUCCAGAACGGAUCUGACUGUGAGGGAUGAAAGCCAGGGGAGCGAACCGGAUUAGAUACCCGAGUAGUCCUGGCCGUAAACGCUGUGAACUAGGUGUUGCAUAUCUCACGUGGAUGUGCAGUGCCGUAGCGAAGGUGUUAAGUUCACCACCUGGGAAGUACGGUCGCAAGGCUGAAACUUAAAGGAAUUGGCGGGGGCGCGCUCCAACCGGUGGAACGUGUGGUUCAAUUUGAUUCUACGCGGGAAACCUCACCAGGGGCGACGGCAGAAUGAAGGUCAGAUUAAAGGUCUUACCUAACGAGCCGAGAGAUGGUGCAUGGCCGCCGUCAGUUCGUGUCGUAAGAUGUACUGCUAAGCCAGUUAACGAACAAGACCUACGCACACAGUUGCUACCGAGUUCUUCGGAAUGAUCGGGCACACUGUGUGGACUGCUCGCGUAAGUGAGAGGAAGGUGUAGACAACGGUAGGUCAGUAUGCCUCGAAUCUCCUGGGCCACACACGCGUUAUAAUGGGAAGGACAAUGGGCUGCAACUCCGAAAGGAGAAGCCAAUCCUCGAAACCUUUCCUCAGUUCAGAUUGAGGGUUGCAAUUCACCCUCAUGAAGCCAGAAUCGGUAGUAAUCGGAUGUCAACAGCGUCCGGUGAAUGCGGCAACGCGCC